UCCAGCCAGACCUUGGCCUAUUCCAUCGGGUUCCCGGCGCUCCUGGUCGCCGGAAUCGUGGCCUCCUGCUGCUGCUGCUGGAGAAGGAAAACGUGCCCACGGCAGGGCUACGACGUGACACCCAGGGACAUUCCCAUGGCGGCUCCCGCCCCCGGGAAUGAGGAGGUGGCACCCCCCGGGAUCGUUCCCACGGGAUGAGCGCCCGCAGCCGGGAAAACUCGGUGCGUCCGCCAGCCCCAAGGAUGCUCCAGGAUCCCACGGGAAGCCGUGAGUGGUGGCACAUCCUGGUCUCCAUGUGGAGCAGCCUCAUCCCAAGGGACGUGUGGCUGCUCUUCCCAGCCCGAAGCAGUGAUUCCCAUGGAUGGCACGGCUCCAGGUCCCAAGGCCAAAUGUUCCGGCCCCAUUCCGCCCUCGGACGCAGCUCAGGGAUCCUUUGGAAGCACUUCCAGCCUCGAUCCAGGCUCCGGAUUCCUGAUCCCCCCUGGCUCUGGCUGCUCCCAGGGAUCCCAACCUGGAGCAAUUUCACUACAAUUUACACUUCUCAAAAGACCAAAUUUAGGAAAUAUUCCAGGAAAAAAUAU